GUCCCUGUAGCAUAAUGGAUAGCGCAUUGGACUUUUAAUCCAAAGGUCAUGCAUUCGAAUUCCACCUGGGAUG